UUCGUCCAAGUGAAGCAGAGGACAGUGGCGGACGGGUGAGUAACGCGUGAGGAACCUGCCUUUCAGAGGGGGACAACAGUUGGAAACGACUGCUAAUACCGCAUGAUACGUUUUAGGGGCAUCCCUGAGACGUCAAAGAUUUAUCGCUGAAAGAUGGCCUCGCGUCUGAUUAGCUAGUUGGUGAGGUAACGGCCCACCAAGGCGACGAUCAGUAGCCGGACUGAGAGGUUGACCGGCCACAUUGGGACUGAGAUACGGCCCAGACUCCUACGGGAGGCAGCAGUGGGGAAUAUUGGGCAAUGGGCGCAAGCCUGACCCAGCAACGCCGCGUGAAGGAAGAAGGCUUUCGGGUUGUAAACUUCUUUUAAGAGGGAAGAGCAGAAGACUGUACCUCUAGAAUAAGCCACGGCUAACUACGUGCCAGCAGCCGCGGUAAUACGUAGGUGGCAAGCGUUGUCCGGAUUUACUGGGUGUAAAGGGCGUGCAGCCGGGAAUGCAAGUCAGAUGUGAAAUCCAUGGGCUUAACCCAUGAACUGCAUUUGAAACUGUAUUUCUUGAGUACUGGAGAGGCAAUCGGAAUUCCUAGUGUAGCGGUGAAAUGCGUAGAUAUUAGGAGGAACACCAGUGGCGAAGGCGGAUUGCUGGACAGCAACUGACGGUGAGGCGCGAAAGUGUGGGGAGCAAACAGGAUUAGAUACCCUGGUAGUCCACACUGUAAACGAUGAAUACUAGGUGUGCGGGGACUGACCCCCUGCGUGCCGCAGUUAACACAAUAAGUAUUCCACCUGGGGAGUAC
rnacentral:rRNA from 1 species